rnacentral:rRNA from 1 species
CAUGCAAGUCGAGCGGUAACAGACAUUUUGAUUUUGCUUGCAAAAUCUCGUGCUGACGAGCGGCGAACGGGUGAGUAACGCGUAGGAAUCUACCUAGUAGAAGGGGAUAGCCCGAGGAAACUCGGAUUAAUACCGUAUACGUCCUUAGGGAGAAAGAGGGCUUAGCUUUGAUGCUCUCGCUAUUAGAUGAGCCUGCGUAAGAUUAGCUUGUUGGUGAGGUAAAGGCUCACCAAGGCGACGAUCUUUAGCUGGUCUGAGAGGACGAUCAGCCACAUUGGGACUGAGACACGGCCCAGACUCCUACGGGAGGCAGCAGUGGGGAAUAUUGGACAAUGGGCGCAAGCCUGAUCCAGCCAUACCGCGUGUGUGAAGAAGGCCUUCGGGUUGUAAAGCACUUUAAGUAAGGAAGAAAAGAGUAUUGUUAAUACCAAUACUCCGUGACAUUACUUACAGAAUAAGGACCGGCUAAUUCCGUGCCAGCAGCCGCGGUAAUACGGAAGGUCCAAGCGUUAAUCGGAAUUACUGGGCGUAAAGCGCGCGUAGGUGGUUUAUUAAGUUGGGUGUGAAAGCCCCGGGCUCAACCUGGGAACUGCAUCCAAA